rnacentral:rRNA from 1 species
UCAAUCCGCUUUUGCCGGAGUUUGAUGACUCUGGAUAACUUUUGCUGAUCGCAGUGGCCUUUGCGCCGGCGACGGAUCCGUUAAAAGUCUGCCCUAUCAACUUUCGAUGGUAGGUGAUAUGCCUACCAUGGUUAUAACGGGUAACGGGGAAUCAGGGUUCGAUUCCGGAGAGGGAGCCUGAGAAACGGCUACCACAUCCAAGGAAGGCAGCAGGCACGCAAAUUACCCACUCCCAGCACGGGGAGGUAGUGACGAAAAAUAACAAUAUCGACCCUUAUGGGUUCGAUAAUUGGAAUGAGUAGAGUAUAAAUCCUUUUGCGAGGAUCAAUUGGAGGGCAAGUCUGGUGCCAGCAGCCGCGGUAAUUCCAGCUCCAAUAGCGUAUAUUAAAGUUGUUGCGGUUAAAAAGCUCGUAGUUGGAUCUCAGAUAUAUGACAAUGGUCGCCUUUCGGUGUACUGCUGAUCAUAAUCUAUUAAUUGAUUUCUCCUUGGUCCACUUCACUGUGUGCCUUGGAGCGUCAAUACGUUUACUUUGAAAAAAUUAGAGUGCUCAAA